rnacentral:sRNA from 1 species
UUCACACAUGAGAAAACCAAGGCUCCAAGAGGUGAAAUGAAGGCCUGUCCCAGUUUACACGGUCACAGCACAGCCAGCUGUGAACUCAGUCCUCUGGACUUUUUUUUUUUUUUGAGACAGAAUCUUGCUCUGUCGCCCAGGCUGGAGUGCAGAGGUGCGAUUUUGGCUCACUGCAGCCUCUGCCUCCCGGGUUCAAGUGAUUCUCCUGCCUCAGCCUCCCCAGUAGCUAGAACUACAGGCACCCACCACCAGGCCCGGCUAAGUUUUUGUAUUUUUAGUAGAGACGGGGUUCCACCGUGUUAGCCAGGAUGGUCUUGAUCUCCUGACCUCGUGAUCUGCCCGCCUCGGCCUCCCAAAGUGCUGGGAUUACAGGCGUGAGCCACCGCAGCUGGCAGCCCUGUGGACUUCUAAGCCAGUGAGUGCCUCUUCUGCUGCCCUAAACCACACUUACAGCCUCCUUUCCAUCCCUGCAGGUAUCUUGGAGAUGGCCGCUUCCAUCUGGAGUCUGUCAUGAUUGCCAACCCCAAUGUCCCCGCUUACCGGUAUGACCCAUAUAGCAAAGUCCUAUCCAGAGAGCACUAUGAUCACCAGUGCAUGCAGGCUGCUCGCCAAGAAGCCAUAGCCACUGCCCGCUCAGCUAAGUCCUGGGGCCUUAUUCUGGGCACUUUGGGCCGCCAGGGCAGUCCUAAGAUCCUGGAGCACCUGGAAUCUCGACUCCGAGCCUUGGGCCUUUCCUUUGUGAGGCUGCUGCUCUCUGAGAUCUUCCCCAGCAAGCUUAGCCUACUUCCCGAGGUGGAUGUGUGGGUGCAGGUGGCAUGUCCACGUCUCUCCAUUGACUGGGGCACAGCCUUCCCCAAGCCGCUGCUGACACCCUAUGAGGCGGCCGUGGCUCUGAGGGACAUUUCCUGGCAGCAGCCCUACCCGAUGGACUUCUACGCUGGCAGCUCCUUGGGGCCCUGGACGGUGAACCACGGCCAGGACCGCCGUCCCCACGCCCCCGGCCGGCCCGCGCGGGGGAAGGUGCAGGAGGAGUCCACGCAUCCCCCUUCAGCCGUGACUUGCGAGGACUGCAGCUGCAGGGACGAGAAGGUGGCGCCGCUUGCUCCUUGACACGCUGCCGGGCCUCAGGGUCCUGCCCUCCGGAGGAGCAGCCUCGAGGCUGGUGGUUUUCAGAGCAGGAGGCCGACGUUUUCUCCGCAUUGGAAGAGCCCGCCGUAUGCAGGGGCCUGGAGGAAUCACUGGGGAUGGUGGCACAGGCACUGAACAGGCUGGGGCCUUUUGACGGCCUUCUUGGUUUCAGCCAAGGGGCUGCGCUAGCAGCCCUUGUGUGUGCCCUGGGCCAGGCAGGCGAUCCCCGCUUCCCCUUGCCACGGUUUAUCAUCUUGGUGUCUGGUUUCCGUCCCCGGGGCAUUGGGUUCAAGGAAUCCAUCCUGCAAAAGCCCUUGUCAUUGCCUUCGCUCCAUGUUUUUGGGGACACUGACAAAGUCAUCCCCUCUCAGGAGAGUAUGCAACUGGCCAGCCGAUUUCCCGGAGCCAUCACCCUCACCCACUCUGGUGGCCACUUCAUUCCAGCAGCUGCACCCCAGCGUCAGGCCUACCUCAAGUUCUUGGACCAGUUUGCAGAGUGAAAGAUCAAGAAAUGUCUCUGCUCCUACAUCCAGCUCCUGUAGGGGUAGCCUCCAUCAUCUGUGCCCUCCCAGGACCCCCCACUCACUGCUGUGAGUGUGCCUCACCAGGACCAGUUAAGAGACAACUAUCAAUUCUUGAUACCCAAAUUAUAUAGGCCCUGCCCUGUAUUGAAGAAAAGGGGAGCACAAGGCCUUAAUGGACACUGACUUGUGAAAACUCAAACAUGAAUAUGGUUAGAGCCCUGGAUUAGGAGGGUGACAUGGGGAAGGCAGAGGCUGGCACCAUGGUGACUGCCACAUAAUAAAGUGGUGAUUUGG